UGCCUGGGCCGGCUGCAAGCUGCUGGCUGCUAGCAGGGCUCCAGACUACCUGUCAGUGGGUGGCGGGCAGCGAGCGCGGGUGCACCACACACACUGCCGGAUGUAAGCCUUGAGUUGCGGAGCAGCCAAGCAGCAGUCGCUUCCUUGACGAUGGUGUGCCAUCUCUGAAACGACUGGGACGUCAGCAGAAGAAACGAGUGAGCUGCGAUCAACCACGGAGUGCGACAAGACGGCUGCUGCCAGGUAUCGAACGCGGACCCGUCGCCUUGCUGGAGAUGUAUGUGACGUGAAGCGGCCGCACCCUGUCC